rnacentral:lncRNA from 1 species
AUAUGGGCAUUUCCACGGUAAUAGGGUACUUCUGUGUGUGAAAGAAUAAAGCGCUUACAGAAAAAUUAAAUAAAUAUCCUGUGGCUUUCUGUGUUUUUAUUUUCAUUGUUGAUGGUAUAAAGAAAUAAAAAAGACAAUUCCAUGCACUAAUAAUGUCAUUUGGUUGUGUUGUCCUCUUUUCUUUAAUGAUUAUUAUUAAAAAUUCCAAAGUACAAUCAGUAAAUGUUGAGUGGUGUGAUUUUGAGGGUGAUGCAAAUAAAAAUUCUAAAAAGAAAUUGAUGUUUCAUGUUUUGAAAAGAGAUUUUGAUGCGGGUGGAUUACGGCAUUGAUCAUAGUUACGGCGAUUGAGCUUUAAAGAGGGAGAGUGAGAGAGUUGAAAAUUACAUUGGCUGAAUGAGAGAUUCUGUCCACCUGUGUUACGUACGUUCAGAGUGAAUUUUCCCACAAUUAUUAGUUGUGUCACCCAACAGUUUUAUGUGCUUUGCAACUCUUUUGAUGAAGGUUGAAAUGUAGACCAAGAAAAAAAUCGUCAAAAUAAACGCAAAUAGAGAUAAAAUCUAUUCAAAAUUUGGAGUGCAAUAUUCGGUCCAACUCACGAACGUACGUAACAACUAAAAAACCGGACCGUGGCGUCCGCGAAUAUGACGCAUGGAUAAUCCACGUAUCAGUCAAGUGAACCAAGGCACUGCAACGUUUGAUUGUACUUGCAAUCCAUGCGCUGACUUCUACAAUCGCGGGGCCGUGUAGCUCUAUAUAACUUCUGUCCAGUUUGUGCGUACGUUCACGGUUGCUGGUAGUUAGAACGACACGUACGCACGUAUGACAGAACAUGUUUUCUGUCCUAUUUACGUACGUGUCGGACGUGAGCAGCAGACGACAUCCGAUCGUAAUUAGAUUAGGCUUUGAAAAUCGUGGAAUGGUGAAAGAUGUUGUGGGAGAAGAUCUUGUCAUCAAGUACAUGGCCGAGUCGGAGUCUCAUCCGGGGCUAUUUAUAUGGCCAGCACGUGAGGAUGUGUCUCGGGAAUGUAGAAAACAGAUAGUGAAGAAAAUGCCUAACCCUGUCCUUCGGGAAGACAUCAGCAGCACUAGAUUACAAUUUUUCACCUUUGCAGAACUCUCCCCAGAAUCAUGACUUGUUCCAUACAAUUUAUGAAUGUCUUAUUACUCAUAGAUUGGUUAAUAAUGAAUCGAGUCAUUCCAACUUCUUCAGAGAACUUGUGUAAAGUCCAGCACACCCGAUAUCGUCCCAAACCAUCGGUUUUAAAAUCCUUACAAUAUUCUCUGACUCUCGUGUAAGAGGAAAACCUAGAACUGCGUGUAUUGAUGUUAAAAAGGAGACAUGAUUAAAUGGCUGGAUCGUGCUAAUUUAUUGUUCUCACGUUGUACUUCAGUAAGGUUUUAAUCACCUCGAUAGACUUGUGUGUUAUGAAAACAAAUAAAAUUCAUGGAAAAUUGGCACAAAGACACAAUUAUUUACUGAAAAUAUUUAAUGAAUGCUCAAUUGAAUUGAUGCAUUAUAAUAUGCAAAAUAACCCAUUGAGUAUGCAGUGUCAAAUCUUUUUUGAAUUUCAGAUCUGAAUUACAUCAAAAUGAUUGUUAUAAAUACAUGUAUUUGAUUUGAACUUACUUGAAAUGAAUGAUCAUAAUUUUGAGCAAAAAUAGAAUUAAAUAGAGCAUUUAUGAAAAAUUAAGAAAUAUAAAAGGUAAAUAUCAUACACAUUGUAGUUAGCAGAUAAAAGAACUCUAGAAUAAAAGCAUACAAAUCCUGUAUAGACAAUUUGUAAUUAACGACAUGAUGUUUGUGAAAUAUCAAUGAAUAGUGUUUGCCUUUUAUUCUAUAUUGUGUCAACUACUUUCCCAGUCUUGAUGGGAAUUGAUUACAAGCUAAUGCUUACAUGUAGUGAAAUGCAUGCUCAAUAUUAUUGUUUAACAGUCUGUUAUUAUUGGGCUCUGUGUCCGAGACACAUUUUGGCUACUGACUAUUAAAGACAUCACCUAGACUACUUUUAAAUUUGUAUAUAAGGUUUUGUGAAAUUUCAAUUUCAAUGAAAUGAUUAGUGUUUGCCUUUUAUUCUAUAUUGUGCCAACUUCUUUCCAUGUGACUAUAGUUACUAUCUUAUCAUUUUUAAAUUUGAAUUUGCAAUUCAGGUGUUCAUAAUUUUAUAAAUUUAUAUAAAUGGUUCAUCCAUGGACAAUUUAAGUUGUACACUGAAGUUUGUUGCUUGCUUUUGCAGUUGGUCAAAAGAUUAAUGAGAGGUGAGAUAAGAUUUCAAAACUAUCAAUUAAUCUAUUUUACAGAUUUACAAACCGUAUAUCAGUUGGCAAAUUCAUUGAUUUCAUUAUACUUAAUAAUUAAAGACCAUUCACAUUUCACUUAUUCUCCAUAAAUCUGCAGCUUUUGAAGUUCUGAUACGGAACACAUGUAACAUUGGCCAGGCAGUGAUUUGAAACAAAAUGAAUUUACAAUGACCUAAACACAAAACAAUUUAAAAUGAUCAAUACAAUGAAACAUUUUAACCUAUGCAACGCUUAUGAAUAUAUUGAUUAUGAAAUAUGUGUCCCAAAACAGAAUUCAAACAAACGUUUAGAUGCCUGUUCUGUCCAACCGUUACAUACGUUCCCUAUUCUUAUUAAUUGGUUCCAACAUGCAUCAACAAUUAUAACUUCUAGAUUUUAUUUUAUCCUGGAAUAUAUGAACAUAGCAUCAACAUCCAGUACACAGUGACACCAAAUUAAUAGAGUACGCACCAUUAAAACAUGUGUGAAAGAUUUAUUCAUUCAAUAAUACAUGAUACAUUGCAAACAUUCCUUAAAUAUUUGUUUUUCUGAUUCACAAAAAAA